AUGCUGAAAGGGAAGAAGGCCAAAGGGAAGGAGGAGGCCCUGGCCCCUGCCACCAUGCAGCAGCAGAUGGCCAAGAAGAUGGACGUCUGAGGAAAGCCCUAAGAAUUUCUGCAGUGGACAGGACGUCCAGCCAUUACAGGGACCUUGCCCACUUUGUCAAGGGCCCUGCUGUAUCAGGCUGCAGUGGCAAAGGGCCAUCCUCCAUGAAUGGCUGAAAGCACCUCCUGUGAUUGACUGGUUCACCCAGGCCUCAGGCCACAGGCAGCUACCCAAUGGCGUACGCUGGCCCACAGUACCAACCAGAGACAAGCAAGAGAAGAAGCAGAGACUGUUGGCCUGGACUAAAAGACAGCACUGGCACAGGGGACAUCCCCACUAAGAGAUGGACCACUUGUCCUUCCAGCAGGGGUUGAUACUGUCACAACCUUGGUGGAGAACGAGAAGGCUCAGCGGGUGGUGAUCGCACGUGACGUGGCUCCCACUGAGCUGGUUGUCUUCCUGCCUGCCUGCGUCCUGAGAUGGGGGUUCCCGACCGCACUGUCAAGGGAAGGCCUGACGAGGGCGUCAAGCCCGCAGGACCAACGAGUCUGCUCCACUGUCGCCUUCACACAGGUUAACUUGGAAGACAAGGGAGCUCUAAGCUGGUGGAAGCUAUCAAGACCCACGACAACAGAUAUGACAAGAUCUGCCAUCGCUGGGAAAGCUAGCUCUGGGACCAAAAUCUGUGGCUCACGUUGCCAAGCUGGAAAAGGCAAAGGCCACAGAACCUGCCAAUAAACUGGGUGA
rnacentral:lncRNA from 1 species